rnacentral:misc_RNA from 1 species
GAUGAAGAACGCAGCGAAAUGCGAUAAUUAAUGUGAAUUGCAGAAUUCAGUGAAUCAUCGAGUCUUUGAACGCACAUUGCGCCCCCUGGUAUUCCGGGGGGCAUGCCUGUCCGAGCGUCAUUGCUGCCCUCAAGCCCGGCUUGUGUGUUGGGCCCUGCUCCCCCGGGGGCAGACCCGAAAGGCAGUGGCGGCACCGCGUCCGAUCCUCGAGCGUAUGGGGCUUUGUCACCCGCUCUGUAGGCCCGGCCGGCGCUUGCCGACCCCCAUCAAUCUUUUUUCAGGUUGACCUCGGAUCAGGUAGGGAUACCCGCUGAACUUAAGCAUAUCAAUAAGCGGAGGA